GGGCCGGUAGCUCAGUGGUUAGAGCAGGCGACUCAUAAUCGCUCGGUCGCGGGUUCGAUUCCCGCUCGGCCCACCG
rnacentral:tRNA from 1 species